rnacentral:rRNA from 1 species
ACUCCUACGGGAGGCAGCAGUAGGGAAUCUUCCACAAUGGGCGCAAGCCUGAUGGAGCAACACCGCGUGAGUGAAGAAGGGUUUCGGCUCGUAAAGCUCUGUUGUUAAAGAAGAACACGUAUGAGAGUAACUGUUCAUACGUUGACGGUAUUUAACCAGAAAGUCACGGCUAACUACGUGCCAGCAGCCGCGGUAAUACGUAGGUGGCAAGCGUUAUCCGGAUUUAUUGGGCGUAAAGAGAGUGCAGGCGGUUUUCUAAGUCUGAUGUGAAAGCCUUCGGCUUAACCGGAGAAGUGCAUCGGAAACUGGAUAACUUGAGUGCAGAAGAGGGUAGUGGAACUCCAUGUGUAGCGGUGGAAUGCGUAGAUAUAUGGAAGAACACCAGUGGCGAAGGCGGCUACCUGGUCUGCAACUGACGCUGAGACUCGAAAGCAUGGGUAGCGAACAGGAUUAGAUACCCUGGUAGGAUAG